GCCCCAUGAACUAAUCACAUCCCAAGGCCCUACCUCCUAAUACCAUCACUUUCCGGGUUAGGAUUUCAACAUGCGAAUUCUUGGGGAACAUAAACAUUCAGACCAUAACAGGUCAAAAUAUUGAGUCACCUCAUCUUGGUUGGUGCAGGCUCUAAGAUAGCCCAACAUUUUCCUUGCUUCUAUCCCAAAUAGAGCGUCCACAUAUAAAGAGGAAGGAGUAAGUGGCUUCACAAUUCUGGUGGAUAAUGGAGACUGGCACCAGCUGAUGUGCUAUUUCUUGGUAUGCCAUGGCUAGCAACUGCACACCUCUGAUGAGAAGUCCUAAGUUCACCUGUCGGCUGGGAGUCCUGUAGGUGAUGAACUUGGGGUUAUUCUUUUGGCUCCUGGGAAAAUUCUGCAUGUCCACCAUGUCCACUAGCCAGUCCCUUUGCUCGUGGAACUCAGUCCUCUGCCUUGAUGUCCUGAAGACAGGUCAGCUAUGUGUCCACUUAGAUUCGACUGUGCAUAGAACCUGAGAAGGCCUCAAGAGUACCAGCAAGUUAUUUAUGCUGACUGCAAUGCUAUUCCCUCCUAAUAAGAUUCUUGGCAAAUUAGCAUUUUUCCAGAAUUCCAAAUGUGAGAGUGGGACAUGAGCAUUCUGCUUUCACUGCUCCCUGACACCUACUUAAUGUCAGUGCCCCCUCCCCCACAGCCACAUCCCCAAACCAACCCCAAGAAGGGAAAACAGGACAACAGCUCACUCUCCUCCUCUCUCUCUCUUUCUCUCCACAAUCUUUUGGGGCCAAAGAAGACUAUGUCUUCCCCACUUCUUUCUCCAGCCUGAAGACCUCUUCUACAUCAAACUCAUACCUGCUAAACCUGCUUAAUGGCAUGCCAGAAGAGCAGAUGAAGGAAUUUAGAUAAGAAGCCUCCAUUCUUGCUGUAAAAAUUCCAUUUUUUAAUGCAAGAAGCUAAAUAUUACCUUAUUUCUCUAUGCAUUCUGGGCAGGCACUUGUUAUUGCCUCUUCAAAUGCUUCUUGUCUUAUAUCUUGCCACAAGAACCCUGAUUUUGUAUCAUGCAGCCAUAUGCAUCAGAAGAGGCUCAACUCCUCUCUAAUAAGUUUGCUGAUAUUGCCCGUCUGCUAAUGACUCCUGGGAUGUGGCAGCCAACUUGAGACCACGAAGGGAUCUACAUGUAUGGGAGACAGAUGACACUGAGGAUGGUGGAGCAGAUAGAUAUUCCCCCAACACAUUGAUGCCAUAGUCUGUGAUGCCCCAUGGCCCAUACAGAGGGUUUAUCGGGUGCCUAAUGUUUGCAACAACUGUGGA
rnacentral:lncRNA from 10 species